GGAAAGAAAAAAAUACCCCGCGUUUAGUCUGAUCCAGCAUUAAAUGAUGAGUGAAUAAAGUCAAAACUUUGAUUUGUAUAAACGAGAUUUCAAGGAAUUAAAAACAGAAAAUCAUUUUCUUUUCCUCCUUGAAGUUAGUUAAUUCUAUAUUAUCACUGAGCUUUGUCUAGUUAAAAAACAGACAAACAAACAAAAAAAACCAAAUCUUUGCUACAGUAACUGAAAUUUUGUGCAAAAAUUCCAAAAUCUUAACAUCCCCUCUUAUACAUGCAGUAUUAGUUCUUUGAAAAAAGGCUCUUGGAAGCCAGACUGAAAACAAGGCACUCCAAAAAAAAAAAAAAAAAAGUGGACAGUAGAACUACAGGCAGACAUAGCUGAGACUGUUUAAUAACAUAUAAUAAAAGAACUACAUUGCAUUAUAUUUAAUAGUAAUGUUAAUUUUAAAAGCUGACAAUUGACUUUUCUUGGUGAAGAAACCAAACAAUAUCAUUUUUCUCUUAAUAGGGUUGACUACUCUGAAUAAAGACGCAUGCUUGUGAUACUGGAUACUGGCAUCAUCUUCCUCAGUUCAAGUGGAACUAAUGGACAAAGAUAUCCAAGAACACCGAAGACUAAAAGGUUGGUCAAGAAGACGGCUUUCUCAAGGAGACAGCAUGUAUUUUACACCAGCUUGGAAGACUUAACUUGGGAACUUUUAGCAGAAGCAUUGUCUUCUCAGCAGACACACAACUAAUCCUCAGAUAUAACCAAGAGAAGAACUUCAGUGACCCAGAGGAACAGAAUAGAGGUUGCUGCAUCUCUAGAACCGUCUGAUCACUGCGAGCUAAAGAAUAGGACUGAAAGACCUUUUAUGCAAGACAUGGAAGAUUUGUAUUCCCACUUCUGUUUCACCAUCUCUCCUAAAAGAGCUGAGAUUUCCAUGAAGUUAUACCAAGUGAUCGUACAUUGCACCUUCCUCAAGAAGGGAGUUUUACUGCACCACUGAUAUUUCUCUUUUCAUUCAGUUGCACUAUUUCCUGCAAGACCUUAGUUUAUUGGAUGUGUGGAAGUUCUCUCAUUUCGUUGUUUCUCUUGGAUAAAAAUAACCCUCAACCGCAUUUCAGAGGCUUGAAACUGAAGUUCAGCAUUGGUCUUCAUGUCACUCAAAGAUGAGUUAUGUAACUUUCUCACUGUACCUAUUGAAGAUAUUUUAAUGUCACACUGUGCCAAGACCUGACUUCAGUAUAUGGUUUACUGAGUUUUCAAAACUGGCAUCAGCAACAGAAAUUGUUGUGCUGAAGCCUGAAACCCUAAGUGGGGAAAGAUCCAACUUUAUUUGUUGUAUCAAAGCAGAUCUAGACUACUAGAUCAUUGCCUCAUUUUAAGAAUGACCUUUGAUGUUGCUAAUCUUCCUGAGGAGGAAAACCUAUAUGCGCCCAUCUGAUGUUAGUAAAAGAAACUAUUUUGAGGGGCCUGUUGAGGAAGCUGAAGGGACCGUUGGCAUAAGUCCAUUUUAUCCAGCUAAAAAUAAUGAUAAUAAACAAAACUCUCUUGAGACACUUCUUUGGUUUGAAGAGAAAAACUGAUUUUACAGCUGAUUUACUGUCUCUGGCUGCCUGCUGCUUACAAGACAGGUGACUGCAGAGAUUUAGAAAGCAGAUGUUUCCUACUUCAGUAUUUUGUAGACAUACUAGGAAUGGAAAAACUGCAUCGAAAUUUGCCUGGUCUGGCUGAUCAGAAAAAGCAGCAUUUAGAGACCCUUCCCCUUCCUCUCUGUCAAAAUCCAACAGUUUUCUAUUGAGAAAAAUGAAGUAUAUAGGAGACAUUCUAAAAUGUAUAAAUAUCUCUGAGAUCUAAUAGGUCCUGAUUCCCUCCUGGUUUUGCUGCAACCCUGAGUGAAGAUGCUGUGUCCAGGCAACACAAGGUAGUGAGCAUCCUGUUGUUUUAAAAAGAUUAAGCUCUUCUCUUUCUAGUUGUAGGAUUCUAUCAAACUGAUAAGCAAAAUGCUUAGGUAUUUUGACAUAUUUUACCUGUUAAAUUUUGGACUAUGAUCGUUUCAUCUGACAAACUGCAGGCUCAAUGGUCAAGGGAAAAAAAGUUUUGAAUAGAGAGAUCAUUUGCAUCUACGGACAUUUAUUUUUUUUUUAAACAUUUUUUGAAUGGUACUAGAGUUUCAUUUCAUUUUACUUAUUUAUCAUAAUGCUUUCAGGAUUUUAAAGAUUAUUCAUGCGUCUUGGUUAGCAUUUCCUAGACCACAGAGGUAUCUGUUAAGAAAGGCCCUUUACCUAGAGUUUUAUACACCUACUAAUCACAAACAAAUGUUGUCCUACCCAUUAAGUUCUUUCUCAUUAAUUCCAGCAUCUAUUUUUACUAUUCCUGGGCCUACGCAAAAGCAUGGAGAUGGUUAAUACUUACCUGUGAAUAUAUGAGCAAUUAUUCUGGAGCAAACAGGCUAAGAGUAAUGCUUUAAAACUAGAUUCUUGUUAGAGUCUUGGUCUUAUAUUGAGGGGAAAAAAUAUGCAAAUGAGAUUAAAAUUUUAUUUGAAGAAUGGUAUUACCAUUGGAUUUGGUUUAGAUUUCUAUUUACGAGUUUUGGAAGUGUUAGCUCCAAACAUCAAGCUAAAUUCCUUUAUGACUCAUGCAUCAUUAAUUACAUACUGUACUAAGAAUUUAAUGCUCUUUUCAUCCACUGACAGGUAAAAUUAAAAAGUCUUUCAGUCUCCUUCAGAUUUACUAACUCAAAUACUUCCAAACAAAAACCGAUAUCAUUAAAUUCCAAUUAAAAGUUUAUGAUGAGAAAGACAAGAUUAUUUAGAUGUGAAGAUAUCACAAUUUCAAACAAACUAGAUGUACUUUUUAAUUUAGCUAAACACAAUACCAUGGGAGAAAAAAUUAAAAGAAGAUGAGACCAAAAGAGAGAUGGAAAUGAAUUCCAGUAACACAUUUAUUCUUAAACAGAGAAACAAAGCAAACAUUUAUUAGUAUUCUUAUCAUAUCCCAGUGAAAAUACUUUGAAAA